AAAGUGUAGUGUCGGUUAAGAUUUAAAUGAAAAUAAUGUAUAUAUACCAGUCAAAGCUAUAUAUACAUUAUUUUCAUCUAAAUCUUAACCGACACUACAGAUC
rnacentral:sRNA from 1 species